AUGAAUGUUCUACCAUGGGAUUUCUGUGGCCUCACACAUGUGAUGAAGCUGGACCUUAUUAAGAACAAGCUUCAGUCGCUGCCAGCUGAGUCUGGCCUUCUGGUCAACCUCCAGCACCUGAAUCUCCUCCACAACAGACUGGUCACCCUGCCUGUCAGCUUUGCUCAGCUCAAGAACCUGGAGUGGCUGGACCUAAAGGACAACACCUUGGACACUUUCUUGGCCAAAGUGGCUGGUGAUUGCUUGGAUGAGAAGCUGUGUAAGCAGUGUGCAAACAAGGUGCUACAGUACAUAAAGACUGUGCAGGUGGAUCAGGAGCCAGAGAGGCAGAGGUUGCUGGAAGUGGAAGGAGAGGCAGAGAAGAGGUUGGAGGCCAAACAGCGAGCUAAGGAAGCUCAGGAGCAGGAACUGCAGAAGCUGGACAAGGCAGAAGAGAAGGAGUAUCAGUGAAAAGAAUGUGAUGCCCUCAAAGAUUCCAAGUGGAGCAGGAGAACAAACCCAAGAAGGAAGCAAAUCAGGCCCCCAAAUCUAAGUGUAGCUCCCAUCCCCUCAAGCCACCUAUGGGAACACACUGGGCCCUGGGCUAUGUUGAAGCUGCUGCUGCCUCUUUUACUGCUGUGUGUAGUCAGUGAGCUGAUUGCAUGUUGGGUGACAGCACUACAGCAACAACCCAAAGCUGUGCAGGAUCUGUGCCACCAGGAGAUCCUCCAGUGGGUCUUUCAGAUUGAGUCCGUGCAGUGA